rnacentral:misc_RNA from 1 species
AAGAAAGGCACGGAAAUGGGUUUGAAUAACGCGAGCGGCAGCCUCUCUAAGAGAAUACGAUGGAUGGCUAUGAUAAUUCAAAGCAGAAGAAGUAGAAAAACGGUGAAGAGAGGAUUCCAGAGUGUUGAUUCGUUGAAGAAGAGAAGAGAGAACAGACUGAGUUUGUUGGUCAUCAGCCAGCUGUUGAAAAUGAAGAUUUUGUGGCUGAACUUGUAGGUUUUGGAGAUGAUUUUUCUGGGCGCAACGUUUAUUACGGCUGGGAGGAUAAACAUACGGGAGCUGCUGAAGGAGGGAUCCAAGAGCUUGGAGAAGUGAAUCAAUUGAUAAUUGCUGUAGUGGUGGUGGUGGUGGUGCAGAAGGGUGAUCAGGUUGGAUGCAGCAAUGGUUGUAAUGGCAGCUACAACAGCAAGUUGUAGUUGGGGGGUUGGAAGUGGCGGUGAUGAAGGAAGGGUUUUGGCAGUGAU